AUACUUACCUGGCAAGGGAGACACCGUGAUCAAGAAGGCGGUUCACCCAGGGCGAGGCUCAGCCAUUGCACUCCGGCUGUGCUGACCGCUGCGAAUUUCCCAAAUGUGGAAACCUCGAUUGCAUAAUUUCUGGUAGUGGAGGACUGCGUUCGCGCUCUCCACUG
rnacentral:snRNA from 8 species